rnacentral:rRNA from 1 species
UACGGAGGGGGCUAGCGUUGUUCGGAAUUACUGGGCGUAAAGCGCGCGUAGGCGGCUUAGCAAGUUAGAGGUGAAAGCCCGAAGCUCAACUUCGGAAUUGCCUUUAAAACUGCAAAGCUAGAAUCAUGGAGAGGUGAGUGGAACUCCGAGUGUAGAGGUGAAAUUCGUAGAUAUUCGGAAGAACACCAGUGGCGAAGGCGACUCACUGGACAUGUAUUGACGCUGAGGUGCGAAAGCGUGGGGAGCAAACAGG